rnacentral:rRNA from 1 species
AUACGGAGGAUCCGAGCGUUAUCCGGAUUUAUUGGGUUUAAAGGGAGCGUAGGCGGACGCUUAAGUCAGUUGUGAAAGUUUGCGGCUCAACCGUAAAAUUGCAGUUGAUACUGGGUGUCUUGAGUACAGUAGAGGCAGGCGGAAUUCGUGGGGUAGCGGUGAAAUGCUUAGAUAUCACGAAGAACUCCGAUUGCGAAGGCAGCCUGCUGGACUGUAACUGACGCUGAUGCUCGAAAGUGUGGGUUCAAACAGGAUUAGAUACCCUGGUAGUCCACACAGUAAACGAUGAAUACUCGCUGUUUGCGAUAUACAGUAAGCGGCCAAGCGAAAGCGUUAAGUAUUCCACCUGGGGAGUACGCCGGCAACGGUGAAACUCAAAUGAAUUGACGGGG